UACCAAUGAUGAGGACAGGCAUUAAGCAAAUCCUUGAAUCUCUCCCAACAUUGAUAGAAAGUUUCAGUGUCCUUUUGAGAAAAAUUCAUGAUUUAUCUUUUUAAUGCA